rnacentral:rRNA from 1 species
AUACGUAGGGUGCGAGCGUUGUCCGGAAUUACUGGGCGUAAAGAGCUCGUAGGUGGUUUGUCGCGUCGUCUGUGAAAUUCCGGGGCUUAACUCCGGGCGUGCAGGCGAUACGGGCAUAACUUGAGUACUGUAGGGGAGACUGGAAUUCCUGGUGUAGCGGUGAAAUGCGCAGAUAUCAGGAGGAACACCGGUGGCGAAGGCGGGUCUCGGGGCAGUAACUGACGCUGAGGAGCGAAAGCAUGGGUAGCGAACAGGAUGAGAUACCCUGGUAGUCCAUGCCGUAAACGGUGGGCGCUAGGUGUAGGGGUCUUCCACGACUUCUGUGCCGUAGCUAACGCAUUAAGCGCCCCGCCUGGGGAGUACGGCCGCAAGGCUAAAACUCAAAGGAAUUGACGGGG